GCCCGCUGAAAGUCAUCUGUGGCCUUGCCCGUGGCCACGGGUGAGACUCGGCACCCAGAGCCACUUGGGUUUUAGCUCAUUGCCCAUUGUCCGGUGUGGGGAGGUAAAACCUAGGCUCCAGCAUCG